UAAAGCAAACCCUCAAGCAUGCUGUGCUAUUCUGCCAUUGCACUGCACACCAGCUUCCCCUGUGGCCCUUAGGGCGCUGGUCUUCAGGGUCGAAGUCUCCCUUGGCCACCACCUCAACCUAAGGGCUGUCUCCCCUUUCUCCACCUCUCUUCUGGUGCCCCUUACUGGUCACCUAGAUGAAAUCAAGGAGGCUCCGCUUUUGGUCCUUGUGGGAUACACUGAGACUCUCAUCUCUGAACUUCGAGGGAUUCCAGGUAGUUACCUAAUCCUUGGAGGAAAGAAACACUAGAAAAGGACCAAGAUCUCUAAGAGAGAGGUUGGUAAAAUAAACAAACCUCUGUACCCUUCACGAGGCACGUGUAUUUGGACGGUUAAAAGUGGGUGGAAGAUGAUCCUUAGCACGAACUGAUCAGCAAAGUCAUUUCCCCGCGGACAGCCCACAGAACGUGCAGUUGUACCAAAAAGCCAACUGGUCUAUUUCUCAUAAGGUUUUCACCCAAGGAGCCAAGAAGUUUUCAGAAUCCAUAGCCACAGACAAGAACACAGACUGAACUGGUGUGCAAACCCAGACAACUCAACCCUGGGACGCAGACAAGCACGACAGUUUCUCGUAGUGUUUGCUCGCCUGCCUCAGAAGGGAAUUUCAGGACUUUGGCAAAAUACAAAAGAUGCCUGGGAGGCUGGCUGAACCUGACCUGACCUGACGGUGGAAUCCCACGUGCGCGUGAGAAGUGGCUUCCAUCUGGUCACUAGGUAGGCCUUGGCCGGUCUGCUGCCCACGCUACUGCCCCACCCAGCCACGCUGACCUCUCACCCCCUGCUGUGACUGUCAAGUG